UAAUUUGCAGAGGAUGCUUCUGGCGAGGUGCCUUCCGAGUUCCCUGGAACGGGACGCCACAGAGGGUGAGAGCCCCGUCUGGUCGGACACCGAGCCUCUGUGAAGCUCCUUCGACGAGUCGAGUAGUUUGGGAAUGCUGCUCUAAAUGGGAGGUAUAUGUCUUCUAAAGCUAAAUACCGGCCAGAGACCGAUAGCGCACAGUAGAGUGAUCGAAAGAUGAAAAGCACUUUGAAAAGAGGGUUAAACAGUACGUGAAAUUGUUGAAAGGGAAGCGCUCACGACCAGACCUGGUCCCGGCGAAUCAGCCGUUCUCGCCGGUGCACUUCGACGGGCUUCCAGGCCAGCAUCAGUCCGCGCCGGGGGACAAAGGCGGCGGGAACGUGGCUCCCCAGGGAGUGUUAUAGCCCGCCGCGCAAUGCCCCGGGGGCGGACUGAGGACCGCGCGUCACCGCAAGGAUGCUGGCGUAAUGGUCUUCAGCGACCCGUCUUGAAACACGGACCAAGGAGUCGUCCUCGUAUGCGAGUGUUGGGGCGUCAAACCCCCCGCGCGUAAUGAAAGUGAACGGCAGGUGAGAGCCCUUCGCGGGCGCAUCAUCGACCGAUCCUUGAUGUUCUCGGAUGGAUUUGAGUAAGAGCAUACGGGGCCGGACCCGAAAGAAGGUGAACUAUGCCUGUGUAGGGUGAAGUCCAGAGGAAACUCUGGUGGAGGCUCGCAGCGGUUCUGACGUGCAAAUUGAUCGUCAAACAGGGCAU
rnacentral:rRNA from 1 species